CUAUUGUAGUACCCUGGCUCAUUGAUGAAUAAUUUAACAGCCGCGGAAAUUUAACCGUGCUAAGGUAGCAUAAUCAUUAGCCUCUUAAUUAGAGGCUAGUAUGAACGGUGAAACAUUUCAAUUACUUUUUUAUUUAAUAUUUUCAAACUUAAAUUAAGAAUAAAAAUGUUCUUAUAAAUUAAAAAGACGAUAAGACCCUUUUGAACUUUACUUUAGUUUAGCUGGGGCAGCUAAAUAAAAAUGAUCUUAUUUUUAUUAAUUAUAUAACUGACCCAAUAUAAUUGAUUAAAUGACCAAGUUACCAUAGGGAUAACAGCGUAAUAUCUUUUUAAAGCUCUUAUUGAAAAAGAAGAUUGCGACCUCGAUGUUGAAUUAGUGUAACUUUACUGAUGCAGUAGUUUUAAAAGUAGGUCUGUUCGACCUUUAAAACAUUACAUGAUCUGAGUCAAAANCCGGAGA
rnacentral:rRNA from 1 species